AUAAACCUGAGAGUUUGAUCCUGGCUCAGGACGAACGCUGGCGGCGUGCCUAACACAUGCAAGUCGAGCGGGGUGAAUCGAGUGGUUUCCACGAGAUUUACCCAGCGGCGGACGGGUGAGUAACACGUAGGCAACCUACCCACCACACGGGGAUAGCCCUGGGAAACCGGGGGUAAUACCCGAUACCUUCGCUGGUCGCAUGGCUGGUGAAGAAAGCGUUAAGCGGUGGUGGAUGGGCCUGCGGCCCAUCAGCUAGUUGGCGGGGUAACGGCCCACCAAGGCGACGACGGGUAGCCGGCCUGAGAGGGUGAACGGCCACACUGGGACUGGGACACGGCCCAGACUCCUACGGGAGGCAGCAGUGGGGAAUCUUGGGCAAUGGGGGAAACCCUGACCCAGCGACGCCGCGUGGGGGAAGAAGGCCUUCGGGUUGUAAACCCCUGUCACCGGGGACGAAGAGGACGGUACCCGGGGAGGAAGCCCCGGCUAACUACGUGCCAGCAGCCGCGGUAAUACGUAGGGGGCUAGCGUUGUCCGGAAUUACUGGGCGUAAAGGGCGUGUAGGCGGGUCUGCAAGUUGCGGGUAAAAAGCCAGGGCUCAACCCUGGACGUGCCUGCAAAACUGCGGAUCUUGAGGGCGGGAGAGGAGAGUGGAAUUCCCGGAGUAGCGGUGGAAUGCGUAGAUACCGGGAGGAACACCAGUGGCGAAGGCGGCUCUCUGGACCGACCCUGACGCUGAGGCGCGAAAGCUAGGGGAGCGAACGGGAUUAGAUACCCCGGUAGUCCUAGCCGUAAACGAUGGUCACUAGGUGUGGGCAGUUGUCAAGCUGUCCGUGCCGGAGCUAACGCAAUAAGUGACCCGCCUGGGGAGUACGGCCGCAAGGUUGAAACUCAAAGGAAUUGACGGGGGCCCGCACAAGCGGUGGAGCAUGUGGUUUAAUUCGAAGCAACGCGAAGAACCUUACCAGGCCUUGACAUGCAGGUGGUAGCGAACCGAAAGAGGAGCGACCCGAGGGAAACCGAGGGAGCCUGCACAGGUGGUGCAUGGUUGUCGUCAGCUCGUGUCGUGAGAUGUUGGGUUAAGUCCCGCAACGAGCGCAACCCCUACCUCUAGUUGCCAGCGGGUGAAGCCGGGCACUCUAGAGGAACUGCCGCCGACAAGGCGGAGGAAGGUGGGGAUGACGUCAAAUCAUCAUGCCCUUUAUGGCCUGGGCCACACACGUGCUACAAUGGCCGGUACAGCGGGAAGCGAA
rnacentral:rRNA from 1 species